UUCCGGUACAUUGGACAAUUGGACAUUUCCGAAGAAAUUGAGUUUUGGGCUUUGGGUCGGAAAGAGAAACCAAGUCUGCCUGAAUAUUACCGAGUGUUCACGGACGGCUCAAGUUGGUCACGGGUUCUCUUCUUACUGAGCUUUGGGUACCGAAUGGCAAUCAACACCUUAAGGACCCAGGCUUCCAAGUUUGCCAGUUUUUUGUCAAAAAUAGUCUCUUUUGUGUGCCGGUUUCUUGCGGUUGAAAAAAUCACAAAGUGGAUCGCAGAUCAUGGUGGAUGGCGAGCUGCCUUGAGCUUUGUUCCAGGUGCCUCUUCCAACAUGUUUGUUUUGAUCUCAGGACUGGCAGCUCUCUCAGUGCUAGCUGUGUUUGCCCUGCACAAGUACCUGCAUUGACCCUGGGCGCAUUAUAAUUGUUUAAUUGUAAUUCAUACAGAAAAGUUAAAAAGACUUGUCUAAUUAAGACUGUUUUGCUGUUUUUAAAUUUAGAGACAUGAGUUUUUGAGAUAACAAUAACAAUACAGAUUUGUUAUUUCUGACACAGUUGAAGUUAAGAGGUUUGAGCUAUGUUGUAUUGUUUUGGUUUUUGUUAUUUUUUGUUUUUACUUGUAUUGUAAAGGGGAAUGUCACAUAGUUCUUAUAUAUUUAAAUUGUUAGAGGAUUUUUUUUUUCUACCAAACUUGCAAAUGUGACUUUUCCAGUAUUUAUUGUAACGUCCUUGCUCGUAUGCUGCAUUGUCUUUGCUGGUAGUGAGCAAGUUACUUGGAAAUGGAAGUUUUCUGAAUUGCACAAUUACUGCCCAGCCUGCUUCUUGUCUGUUGUAAUCUAUGUUUAUGUUAGAAAGGGUAGCUAUUAUAUUAUUAACAAUAUUCUUGCUGAUUUGCCAAAAAGCUCUCCUGUUUUCACUUGCACCAUAUUAUGUUAUGGUGCUGAUAUUUUUUUUGCUCUUGUUUCUUACAUGAAUGUCCUUCCAUACUUAAAUGGUAUUAUUGUAGUUUUCUUUAUGAUAGUAUCAACAUCUCUCCAAUUUUGAAACAGCAGCUUUUUGGUCACAAAUUAAUAGAUUUUCUUGAAAUAAGAUUUUACUUAACUGGAAACAUCUCGGUUAGGAAGGUCAUAAGGUGGCUGCUUCUUCCCGUGUUACCAUCAAAUGGAGCUAAAAAUGAAAUUGUGUGUGUUUCCUUCCUUGCUUUCUUAAAGAGCACAUUGGAUGCAUAUAUAAAGACUACGAGACUUUUCAUCAAAGCAAUUUUUUUUUAAAGGGGAGGGAGAGGGUUGUUUUAUGGCAAAGGAAACUGUUUGGUGAUUUCAUCAGCUGGACAUAGAGAUUGAUAUCUUCAACAAGUACAACAGCAUUGUCUUUUCCUUGCUCAAGAUGGAUGUAUGGCAACUGACAUACCUGAUUUACUUUCUAGGAGGAAAACUUUAUUACUUCUGUUGUUUUUAUUAUGAGAAUUGAUAAUCAUCCGGCUCUUCUGUCAAACUUGGAGCCAUCAGGCAGCAGCAGAAGUACUUGUCUGAGUAUUUUUCUAGUGUAUGUGUGUUGAUGUCUGGAAGUUAGCUGGGUUUUUUAUUUUUAAGGGUUAAAAUGUUAUAGUUUUCUUGGCAAUUAGUUGAGCCUAUGGAAAAGAGCCUGUACAGUGUUCUUUAUUGAGGUGGGGUUUUUUAAAAUAAUUUUAUUGUUAAUGACAGCAGCGAUUUGUCAAGCGUUACUUUCAGGUCUGUUUGAAGAUUAUGCGGUAGUUAUAGUUUUGUUUGUGUAUGAACUUAAUUUUUACAAAGUUUUUGUCUGUGGCAGUGAAAGUUCUGUGUAUGCCACAGUCACUCCUCCCAUUCAUUGAUGAGAGGGAGGACAUGAAAGAGAUAUAUUCGAUUCUUUGUCUUUCCACGUGUUUACUUGUUUAAUGAAAGACAGCUAUAUAUAUAUAUUUAUGUUCCAUUUUUAAACAUCUUGAGCUCAUAAUUUUCAUUCCAGUGAGAAGGCUAGCCAGAAGUCUCUAUGUGAGGGUGGCCUUUGAUACGCUUAUUCUGUAGGUUGCCAUAACAUGAAGGUUAUGGUCAUUGUCAUGGGGAUAAAGGCUUUUUCCUGGAAAAAAAUAUAACGUUUUCACGUACAGUGCUGUGUAAAAAUAUAGUGGGGUGUAUUUUGUUUAUAUAGUUUUGUGCAGCUCUAUGUGAAUAUGAAUAUCAUAAGAUUGUGUCUUGUGAGUGUAAGUAUUGGCCAAAAGGAAUCACCCUUUUUAAAAAAUUUAUUUGCUUUUUGGAGUUGUUUUUUUUUGGGGGGGGGGGGGGGGUUGUUGUUUUUUACUUUCAGAGUUUUUUGUGGAGUUUUUUUCUUCCCCAAAUUAAAUUCUACUGUUGAUUUUCCUGACUUUUCAUUUUGAAAUGUCACAUGAGUAUGACAGCCUUGUCAAUCAAAGAGUGGGGAAUGACUGAUCAGCUUCUUAGUGUAAGACUCUGCCAUGUGCCAUUUUGAAAAGUGACGUAUGAUGGAAUCUUCCACUGAGCAGUUAGAUACAGUCUUGUCUUGCAUGGGUGCUGGGUCAACUCUGUAACUCUCAAGGAUGUCACUGAGCCGCCUCAUUUUAUGUCUUCACUUGUUCAUCUUUUGAUGCUAUUACAUGUACUUCUUACCACUUAUAGCAAAAGUUCUUGUUAUUUGCCCGUAAGUCAACACUGUAGAACACUUCUCAUUUUGCAUUUUGUGUACAGUUUGGUUUAUUUGGAGGUUGAUUGGACUGUUUUUCAGUCAGUGGUGAUGUUGAAAAGGAAUUUUUUUUAAUGAAAAUUGAAAAAAAAAGAAAGGAAGAGAAUUCCACCCUCUCUUAUUUAAUUUUAAAAGAAAACUUUUUAAAAGUAUUGUUUUGUCUCACAUUUAAGGUCCGCGCUAACUUAUGGUCUCUGGUCCCCUA